rnacentral:rRNA from 1 species
GAUGAACGCUGGCGGCGUGCCUAAUACAUGCAAGUCGAGCGAACGGACGAGAAGCUUGCUUUUCUGAUGUUAGCGGCGGACGGGUGAGUAACACGUGGAUAACCUACCUAUAAGACUGGGAUAACUUCGGGAAACCGGAGCUAAUACCGGAUAAUAUUUUGAACCGCAUGGUUCAAAAGUGAAAGACGGUCUUGCUGUCACUUAUAGAUGGAUCCGCGCUGCAUUAGCUAGUUGGUAAGGUAACGGCUUACCAAGGCAGCGAUGCAUAGCCGACCUGAGAGGGUGAUCGGCCACACUGGAACUGAGACACGGUCCAGACUCCUACGGGAGGCAGCAGUAGGGAAUCUUCCGCAAUGGGCGAAAGCCUGACGGAGCAACGCCGCGUGAGUGAUGAAGGUCUUCGGAUCGUAAAACUCUGUUAUUAGGGAAGAACAUAUGUGUAAGUAACUGUGCACAUCUUGACGGUACCUAAUCAGAAAGCCACGGCUAGCUACGUG